AUGGGGCUUUCCUCAGGAAUUGUGCAUUUCAAAAUAAAAUCAGCUAAUAUCUGUGCCUUGAUGGAGGGUCAAGAUUGAAAUUUUACAUCAAAUAUUGUGAGCUCAAUUAUCCAUUUUGCUACUCGAUCCGAUGUAUCCGAUCGAUGUAGGAUGGGCUUCAAAGGCUGAUCAGUCAGGAGAACUAUCGUGUGGGCCUAAAAGUAGAAUCAAAGUUUUUGGGUUGAGACGAUGAGGGCAAAAAUGAGCUUUUCGAGUCUCGUGUAUCUAGUCUUCGUGUUGUGAAGGAUUUUGUUGAUAUAAUAAAUUGGCCUUUGAGCCUUGCCUUCCUCUCAAACGAGUAUCGAGCUUACCACGAUUAGCGAGACCUCUAAGUAGAGAUACAACUCCUUACCUGGCUCGGGCUUGCUAUGGAGUAAGCGUGGAGUUGAGAUAGCUCUUCAAUUUAGCUUUCUUUGGUCCACUCAAAGUCUUUUGGGUGCCUCAGAAUCUUGAAGAAAGAGAGACAGCACUCAGUUGAUCUAGAGAUGAAUCAGUUGAGGG
rnacentral:lncRNA from 1 species